rnacentral:ribozyme from 1 species
CCCCUUCCCCAUCCCAAACAAAAAGAGAAGAAAAAAAACAAACGCACGUGGUGAGAAGAGAGAUGAAGUGGAGAGGUCGGAAACGAAUAUAUAUAAGAGAGAAAGAGAGAGAGAGAAAAGAACACUUGUCAAACCCAAUAUAUCUUUGGAAACUCCCAAUCUGUUCUCAUGAUGCGGAACCACGUUCUCUCCACACAGAUCCACACGCCCUUUC